GACGAACGCUGGCGGCGUGCCUAAUACAUGCAAGUAGAACGCACAGUUUAUACCGUAGCUUGCUACACCAUAAACUGUGAGUUGCGAACGGGUGAGUAACGCGUAGGUAACCUGCCUGGUAGCGGGGGAUAACUAUUGGAAACGAUAGCUAAUACCGCAUAAUAUUAAUUAUUGCAUGAUAAUUGAUUGAAAGAUGCAAUUGCAUCACUACCAGAUGGACCUGCGUUGUAUUAGCUAGUAGGUGAGGUAACGGCUCACCUAGGCGACGAUACAUAGCCGACCUGAGAGGGUGAUCGGCCACACUGGGACUGAGACACGGCCCAGACUCCUACGGGAGGCAGCAGUAGGGAAUCUUCGGCAAUGGACGAAAGUCUGACCGAGCAACGCCGCGGGAGUGAAGAAGGGUUUCGGAUCGUAAAGCUCGGUUGUAAGAGAAGAACGGGUGUGAGAGUGGAAAGUUCACACUGUGACGGUAUCUUACCAGAAAGGGACGGCUAACUACGUG
rnacentral:rRNA from 1 species